AAAUAUUAUAUUUUUGUGAGGCUCCUACAUAGACACACGCUACUGCCCAGAAACAUCGAGAGAUGCCAACGGGUCAGGAGGUAUUAUCGAAAGAAGGUAUUACCUAAUGUAGCUAGAGAAUUAACUCUUAAGCUUUGUAGUGCUAAAACUCAGAAUUAAAGUUAAU
rnacentral:sRNA from 2 species